CCUACGGGUGGUAGCAGUGAGGAAUAUUGGUCAAUGGACGCAAGUCUGAACCAGCCAUGCCGCGUGCAGGAAGACGGCUCUAUGAGUUGUAAACUGCUUUUGUACGAAGGUAAACGCAGAUACGUGUAUCUGUCUGAAAGUAUCGUACGAAUAAGGGUCGGCUAACUCCGUGACAGCAGCCGCGGUAAUACGGAGGAUUCAAGCGUUAGCCGGAUUUAUUGGGUUUAAAGGGUGCGUAGGCGGUUGGUUAAGUUAGAGGUGAAAUCCAGGGGCCCAACUUAGGAAUUGCCUUUGAUACUGUUAGGCUAGAGAGUAGUAGCGGUAGGUGGAAUGCAUGGUGUAGCGGUGAAAUGCGUAGAGAUCAUAAAGAAUACCGAUUGCGAAGGCAGCUCACUGAGCUACUUCUGACGUUGAGGCACGAAAGCGUGGGGAGCAAACAGGAUUAGAUACCCUAGUAGUC
rnacentral:rRNA from 1 species